AUUGAACGCUGGCGGCAGGCCUAACACAUGCAAGUCGAGCGGAUGAAGGGAGCUUGCUCCUGGAUUCAGCGGCGGACGGGUGAGUAAUGCCUAGGAAUCUGCCUGGUAGUGGGGGAUAACGUCCGGAAACGGGCGCUAAUACCGCAUACGUCCUGAGGGAGAAAGUGGGGGAUCUUCGGACCUCACGCUAUCAGAUGAGCCUAGGUCGGAUUAGCUAGUUGGUGGGGUAAAGGCCCACCAAGGCGACGAUCCGCAACUGGUCUGAGAGGAUGAUCAGUCACACUGGAACUGAGACACGGUCCAGACUCCUACGGGAGGCAGCAGUGGGGAAUAUUGGACAAUGGGCGAAAGCCUGAUCCAGCCAUGCCGCGUGUGUGAAGAAGGUCUUCGGAUUGUAAAGCACUUUAAGUUGGGAGGAAGGGCAGUAAGUUAAUACCUUGCUGUUUUGACGUUACCAACAGAAUAAGCACCGGCUAACUUCGUG
rnacentral:rRNA from 1 species